AUUGAACGCUGGCGGCAGGACUAACACAUGCAAGUCGAACGAGUGGCGGACGGGUGAGUAAUGUCUGGGAAACUGCCUGAUGGAGGGGGAUAACUACUGGAAACGGUAGCUAAUCCCGCAUACCAUCAGAUGUGCCCAGAUGGGAUAAGCUGGGUGGUUGGGUAACGGCGCACCAAGGCGACGAUCCCUAGCUGGUCUGAGAGGAUGACCAGCCACACGUGAACUGAUGCACGGUCCAGACUCCUACGGGAGGCAGCAGUGGGGAAUAUUGCACAAUGGGCGCAAGCCUGCUGCAGCCAUGCCGCGUGUAUGAAGAAGUCCUUCGAGUUGUAAAGUACUUUCAUCGUGGUGGCGUUACCCGCAGAAGAAGCACCGGCUAACUCCGUGCCAGCCGCCGCGGUAAUAC
rnacentral:rRNA from 1 species